rnacentral:rRNA from 1 species
GUGAACGCUGGCGGCAUGGCUAAAGCAUGCAAGUCGUACGAACCCGCAAGGGUGAGUGGCGGACGGGUUAGUAAUAAGAUCGAACAUACCUCGAGCUGGAGGAUAGCGGCGGGAAACUGCCGGUAAUACUCCAUGUCCUCUCCGGAGAAAAGCUUUUGCGGCUUGAGAUUGGCGAUUUUCCUAUCAGCUAGUUGGCGGGGUAAAGGCCCACCAAGGCGAAGACGGGUAGCAGGUGUGAGAGCACGACCUGCAACAUCGGGACUGAGACACUGCCCGGACUCCUACGGGAGGCUGCAGCGACGAAUCUUCUGCAAUGGGCGAAAGCCUGACAGAGCAAUGCCGCGUGUGGGAUGAAGCGUCUAUGACGUGUAAACCACUGUCAGGGGGCGGAACCAAUGAUUGCCCCCAGAGGAAGAGCCGGCUAACCCUGU